rnacentral:rRNA from 1 species
GUGGAUUAGAUACCCUAGUAGUCCACGCCCUAAACGAUGUCUACUAGUUGUCGGGGUUUUCGGACCUUGGUAACGCAGCUAACGCGUGAAGUAGACCGCCUGGGGAGUACGGUCGCAAGAUUAAAACUCAAAGGAAUUGACGGGGGCCCGCACAAGCGGUGGAUGAUGUGGAUUAAUUCGAUGCAACGCGAAAAACCUUACCUGGUCUUGACAUGUCGAGAAUCCCGGAGAGAUCUGGGAGUGCCGCAAGGAACUCGAACACAGGUGCUGCACGGCUGUCGCCAGCU